rnacentral:rRNA from 1 species
UACGUAGGUGACAAGCGUUAUCCGGAUUUAUUGGGCGUAAAGCGCACGCAGGCGGCUGAUUAAGUCUGACGUGAAAUCUCUCGGCUUAACCGGGAGCGGUCGUUGGAAACUAAUUGGCUUGAGGCGAUGAGAGGGGUGUGGAAUUCCCGGUGUAGUGGUGGAAUGCGUAGAUAUCGGGAGGAACACCAGUGGCGAAGGCGACUACCUGGCCUGUUCUUGACGCUGAGGCGCGAAAGCUAGGGGAGCAAACGGG